rnacentral:rRNA from 1 species
AUUCCAGCUCCAAUAGCGUAUAUUAAAGUUGUUGCAGUUAAAAAGCUCGUAGUUGGAUUUCUGGUGGGAGUGACCGUUCCGGGCUUGAUUGUCCGUGUAAUGAGUUGCAUCCAGCCAUCCUCGCGGAGAGCGUCUCUGUCAUUAAUUUGAUGGAGUCGGGACCCGUGUCGUUUACUGUGAAAAAAUUAGAGUGUUUAAAGCGGGCAAUUAGCUUGAAUACAUUAGGAUGGAAUAAUAAGAUAGGACUUUGGUACUAUUUUGUUGGUUUGCAUACCAAAGUAAUGAUUAACAGGAACAGUUGUGGAUAUUCGUAUGAGCAUGUCAGAGGUGAAAUUCUUGGAUUUUGAUCAGACGAACUACUGCGAAAGCAUUUAUCAAGGAUGUUUUCAUCG